rnacentral:tRNA from 1 species
GGUUGUUUAGCUCAGUUGGUUAGAGCGCAUCGUUCACAUCGAUGAGGUCGCAGGUCCGAGUCCCGCAACAACCA